ACCAGACUCCUACGGGAGGCAGCAGUGAGGAAUAUUGGUCAAUGGGCGAGAGCCUGAACCAGCCAAGUCGCGUGAGGGAAGACGGUCCUAUGGAUUGUAAACCUCUUUUGUCGGGGAGCAAAAAGGCCUCGUGAGGCCACAAGUGAGAGUACCCGAAGAAAAAGCAUCGGCUAACUCCGUGCCAGCAGCCGCGGUAAUACGGAGGAUGCGAGCGUUAUCCGGAUUUAUUGGGUUUAAAGGGUGCGUAGGCGGAGUAUCAAGUCAGCGGUAAAAAUUCGGGGCUCAACCCCGUCGUGCCGUUGAAACUGAUGUUCUUGAGUGGGCGAGAAGUAUGCGGAAUGCGUGGUGUAGCGGUGAAAUGCAUAGAUAUCACGCAGAACUCCGAUUGCGAAGGCAGC
rnacentral:rRNA from 1 species